rnacentral:misc_RNA from 1 species
AAGUCGUAACAAGGUUUCCGUAGGUGAACCUGCGGAAGGAUCAUUAUUGAAUAUGCUUGAUGGGUUUGUAGCUGGCCCUUUGGGGCAUGUGCACGACCUGUCUUGACUUUAUUCAUCCACCUGUGCACCUUUUGUAGUCUCAUUGGGGGCUGACGAGUGACCAUCUCAGUUGAAGAGCUGGAUGUGAGGAUUGCCAAUGGCGGCUCUCCUCUGGGUCAUGGAUCUUCCUUGAGAGACUAUGUCUUUUAUCACAAACCAUGUAGUAUGUUGUCAGAAUGUAGUUAAUGGGCCUUCGUGCCUAUACAUCCUUAUACAACUUUCAGCAACGGAUCUCUUGGCUCUC